UUUAAGAGAAGCUAUAAGUUUCUGUGUCCAAUUUGAUCGUCCGUCUUAUUUAAAUUUUUUAAUAAUUAGUAUUUUUAUUGUUAUGAGAUAAUAAAAUAUGAAUAGUACUUUAUACAUGGCUUAUAUUUUUAAAUCUUUUUAAAAUAAUUCUAAAUAAGACGAACGGUCAAAGUUAUGCAUAGAAAAUCAUAGUUGCAUUUAAA
rfam:Oryza glumipatula chromosome 3, whole genome shotgun sequence.